rnacentral:rRNA from 1 species
AUUGAACGCUGGCGGCAGGCUUAACACAUGCAAGUCGAGCGGAGAUGAGGUGCUUGCACCUUAUCUUAGCGGCGGACGGGUGAGUAAUGCUUAGGAAUCUGCCUAUUAGUGGGGGACAACAUUCCGAAAGGGAUGCUAAUACCGCAUACGUCCUACGGGAGAAAGCAGGGGAUCUUCGGACCUUGCGCUAAUAGAUGAGCCUAAGUCGGAUUAGCUAGUUGGUGGGGUAAAGGCCUACCAAGGCGACGAUCUGUAGCGGGUCUGAGAGGAUGAUCCGCCACACUGGGACUAAGACACGGCCCAGACUCCUACGGGAGGCAGCAGUGGGGAAUAUUGGACAAUGGGGGGAACCCUGAUCCAGCCAUGCCGCGUGUGUGAAGAAGGCCUUAUGGUUGUAAAGCACUUUAAGCGAGGAGGAGGCUACUGAGACUAAUACUCUUGGAUAGUGGACGUUACUCGCAGAAUAAGCACCGGCUAACUCUGUGCCAGCCGCCGCCGUAAAAC